rnacentral:rRNA from 1 species
UACGUAGGGUGCAAGCGUUAAUCGGAAUUACUGGGCGUAAAGGGCUCGUAGGCGGCCAACUAAGUCAGACGUGAAAUCCCUCGGCUUAACCGGGGAACUGCGUCUGAUACUGGAUGGCUUGAGGUUGGGAGAGGGAUGCGGAAUUCCAGGUGUAGCGGUGAAAUGCGUAGAUAUCUGGAGGAACACCGGUGGCGAAGGCGGCAUCCUGGACCAAUUCUGGCGCUGAGGAGCGAAAGCCAGGGGAGCAAACGGG